rnacentral:rRNA from 1 species
AUUGAACGCUGGCGGCAGGCCUAACACAUGCAAGUCGAACGGUAGCACAGAGAGCUUGCUCUCGGGUGACGAGUGGCGGACGGGUGAGUAACGUCUGGGAAACUGCCCGAUGGAGGGGGAUAACUACUGGAAACGGUAGCUAAUACUGCAUAACGUCGCAAGACCAAAGUGGGGGACCUUCGGGCCUCACACCAUCGGAUGUGCCCAGAUGGGAUUAGCUAGUAGGUGGGGUAAUGGCUCACCUAGGCGACGAUCCCUAGCUGGUCUGAGAGGAUGACCAGCCAAACUGGAACUGAGACACGGUCCAGACUCCUACGGGAGACAGCAGUGGGGAAUAUUGCACAAUGGGCGCAAGCCUGAUGCAGCCAUGCCGCGUGUAUGAAGAAGGCCUUCGGGUUGUAAAGUACUUUCAGCGGGGAGGAAGGCGGUGAAGUUAAUAGCUUCACCGAUUGACGUUACCCGCAGAAGAAGCACCGGCUAACUCCGUGCCAGCAGCCGCAGUAA